GACGAACGCUGGCGGCGUGCCUAAUACAUGCAAGUCGAACGAAGCUUUCUUUCACCGAAUGCUUGCAUUCACCGAAAGAAGCUUAGUGGCGAACGGGUGAGUAACACGUAGGCAACCUGCCCAAAAGAGGGGGAUAACACUUGGAAACAGGUGCUAAUACCGCAUAACCAUGGACAUCGCAUGAUGUUCAUGUAAAAGACGGCUUUUGCUGUCACUUUUGGAUGGGCCUGCGGCGUAUUAACUUGUUGGUGGGGUAACGGCCUACCAAGGUGAUGAUACGUAGCCGAACUGAGAGGUUGAUCCCCCACACUGGCACUGAGAUACGGGCCAGACUCCUACGGGAGGCAGCAGUAGGGAAUAUUGGUCAAUGGGCGAGAGCCUGAACCAGCCAUGCCGCGUGCAGGAAGACGGGCCUUCUGGGUUGUAAACUGCUUUUGUCAGGGGCUAAAAUACCCAUGCGUGGGAGAUUGAAAGUACCUGGCGAAUAAGCCACGGCUAACUACG
rnacentral:rRNA from 1 species